rnacentral:lncRNA from 1 species
GAUAUUUGCAAAUGAAUUUGCCAACGAAUAUAGCUAGUAUAGGAAGGGUAAAAAGCUUUUUCACACCGCAAAUAUUGCCAAAAUGAUAAUAAGAUCUGCUGAAGUUGCAGGUUUAACAAAAAGUAAAGGAAAGGAAACAGGUUUCUAUUCAAACAUGGGUACGGAGGGCGUCAGAUCGACGCAACAGUGGAAAAAUUAUGAAAAAGUUUUAAAGUAAAUAAAAAAUACCAACUUA